rnacentral:rRNA from 1 species
CGGGUGAGUAACGCGUGAGGAACCUGCCUCAAAGAGGGGGACAACAGUUGGAAACGACUGCUAAUACCGCAUAAGCCCACAGCUCGGCAUCGAGCAGAGGGAAAAGGAGCAAUCCGCUUUGAGAUGGCCUCGCGUCCGAUUAGCUGGUUGGUGAGGUAACGGCCCACCAAGGCGACGAUCGGUAGCCGGACUGAGAGGUUGAACGGCCACAUUGGGACUGAGACACGGCCCAG